GUCGAGAGAAAAUGAAAAAUUCGAACUUCAUUUGUACACUCAUUCACAGUAUUCACACGCAUCGCUCCCAGCUUAAGAAACCCAUCAUCCACCUGUAUAAUUUCUCCUGUAGAAACGUAAUACAUAAUUCAAGACUUCAAAGGACCACGAUAUCGUACAUCUAGAAUCUGGAUCCUUCUUCCUUGGAUCUUCUCCUUAGCACCGUUGUUCCGCAUUGCUGAUUUAGCAGUAACAAGACAAGAGACUCUAAGAAGAAAACGCUAACUAAUAGAUAUUUGAACACGAGUUCAGCUGAAAUUUUUUUCAACGAUUUGUCGUUUGGCCUAUUUGAGAAUCCCUAUACAAGGCCGGCCGGUCUUGACCUAAUGAGAAUAAGCUUAAAUCGUUUGGGACAGCUGCCAGCUGAAAAAUCGCUACACCAGCCUGUCUAUUGCCAAUUCUGAUCUAUUAUCGUGACGACUACUAGGUCUCGUCGAAUAAAAAUUGCCGCUGUCCUGGGAUUUGUCGCGCUAUCAGCUGAAAUCUAGGCGAAGAGACAUGGAAUUAUGUAUAGUAUGAUAGCAAACGUAUUUCUGCAAGGAUUUUUUGACGCAAUGCGGAGUGGAAUUAAAUUUGGAAGAAAGUGAUAAAUGAGUCGAAUGAUAGGAGAAUCAAGGAACAAUGUCAAUUUCAUUUAAAGAGAUCCCAUAAACGAACGGAUCCAAUUUCGGACCAAUUAUCAAUCGACGAUUAACCUUCUUAACGAGUCCUUCCC